GUAUUGCAUUUAAAACUGGGCGGCUUGAGGAUGAGAGAGGAAAGUGGAAUUCCUAGUGUAGCGGUGAAAUGCGUAGAUAUUAGGAGGAACACCAGUGGCGAAGGCGACUUUCUGGCUCAUACCUGACGCUGAGGCGCGAAAGCGUGGGUAGCAAACAGGAUUAGAUACCCUGGUAGUCCACGCCGUAAACGAUGAGUACUAGGUGUAGGAGGUAUCGACCCCUUCUGUGCCGCAGCAAACGCAUUAAGUACUCCGCCUGGGGACUACGGUCGCAAGACUGAAACUCAAAGGAAUUGACGGGGACCCGCACAAGCGGUGGAGCAUGUGGUUUAAUUCGACGCAACGCGAAGAACCUUACCAGAUCUUGACAUCCCUUGAAUUACUGUGUAAUGC
rnacentral:rRNA from 1 species